GACGAACGCUGGCGGCGUGCUUAACACAUGCAAGUCGAACGGACAGGCGCUGCGUUUGUGGGGUGCUCGAUUGGCGAAGGGGUGAGUAACACGUGAGUAACCUCCCCCUGACUUUGGGAUAACAUCAGGAAACUGGGGCGAAUACCGGGUAGGAUCUCCUGCUGCAUGGUGGGGGUUGGAAAGUUUCGGUGGUUGGGGAUGGACUCGCGGCUUAUCGGCUUGUUGGUGGGGUAGUUGCUUACCAAGGCUUUGACGGGUAGCCGGCAUGAGAGGGGUGACGGCCACAUGGGUACUGAGGGAGGGGCCAGACUGGUACGUGCGGCAGCAGUGGAGAAUAUUGCACAAUGGGCGGAAGCGUGAUGCAGCAACGCCGCGUGCGGGAUAACGUCCUUCGGGUUGGAAACAGCUUUGGCCUGUGACGAAGAGUGAGUGACGGUAAUGGGUAAAGAAGCACCGGCUAACUACGUG
rnacentral:rRNA from 1 species